rnacentral:rRNA from 1 species
UCAAGUGAAUAAGAGCAUAAGGCGGAUGCCUUGGCACUGGGAGCCGACGAAGGACGUGACAAGCUGCGAUAAGCUACGGGGAGGAGCACAUAUCCGUCAAUCCGUAGAUUUCCGAAUGGGGGAACCCACCUAUAGUAAUGUGUAGGUAUUUUCGUAUGAAUCUAUAGUACGAAUAAAGGCAACCCGGGGAACUGAAACAUCUAAGUACCCGGAGGAAGAGAAAGAAAAAUCGAUUUCCUAAGUAGCGGCGAGCGAAAGGGAAAGAGGCCAAACCGUUAGUUUACUAACGGGGUUGUGGAUCACAGCCGUGGUAGAUACAAGUUUAGCAGAAGACAACUGGAAAGUUUGCGACACAGAGGGUAAUAUCCCCGUAUGCGAAAAAUGAGUAUCACCUAUGUGACACCAGAGUAGGACCGAACACGUGGAAUUCGGUUUGAAGCCGGGGGGUCCACCCCCCAAGCCUAAAUACUACCCAGUGACCGAUAGUGAAUAGUACCGUGAGGGAAAGGUGAAAAGGACCCCGGGAGGGGAGUGAAAUAGAACCUGAAACCUUAUGCUUACAAGCAGAGGGAGCGCAAGUGACCUCGUACUUUUUGUAGAACGGGCCAACGAGUUAUGGUAUGCAGCGAGGUUAAGGUGCUGGAGCACUGGAGCCGUAGAGAAAUCGAGUCUGAAAGGGCGAAAGUUGCAUGCUGUAGACCCGAAACCGGGUGAUCUAUCCAUGUCCAGGUUGAAGUAACUGUAAUAGGUUAUGGAGGACCGAACUUAUAUCUGUUGAAAAAGGUUAGGAUGAGGUGUGGAUAGGGGUGAAAUUCCAAUCGAACUCGGAUAUAGCUGGUUCUCCUCGAAAUAGCUUUAGGGCUAGCCUCGUAGUAAGAUACCUGGGGGUAGAGCACUGAAUGUUCUAGGGGCCUUCACCGGUUACCGAAAACUAUCAAACUCCGAAUACCAGAGUAUCAUCUACGGGAGUCAGACUAUGUGAGAUAAGUUUCAUAGUCGAAAGGGAAACAGCCCAGACCGUCAGCUAAGGUCCCAAAAUAUAGGUUAAGUGGAAAAGGAUGUGGGGUUGCACAGACAGCUAGGAUGUUGGCUUAGAAGCAGCCAUUCAUUCAAAGAGUGCGUAAUAGCUCACUAGUCGAGUGACCCUGCGCCGAAGAUAAACGGGGCUAAAACCUAUUACCGAAGCUACGGAUACUUAAUGUAUGGUAGAGGAGCGUCGUAUACGGGUUGAAGCAGUACUGUAAGGUAUUGUGGACUUUAUACGAGAGAGAAUGUUGGCAUGAGUAGCGCGAGGCAGGUGAGAAUCCUGCCCACCGAAAAUCUAAGGUUUCCUGAGGAAGGUUCGUCCACUCAGGGUUAGUCGGGGCCUAAGCCGAGGGCGAAAGCCAUAGGCGAUGGAUAACAGGUAGAAAUUCCUGUACCACCGAAGGUUGUUUGAAUGAUGUGGGGACACAGGAGGAUAAGCUGAGCACGCCGUUGGUAGAGCGUGUCCAAGCGUCAAGGGAGUAUGAAUAGGCAAAUCCGUUCAUAUAUAUUCUGAGGCGUGAUGGGGUGGUCAAUAGACCGGAAGCAGCUGAUUUCACACUGUCAAGAAAAGCCGCUAAUUAGACCUAAGGUGCCCGUACCGCAAACCGACACAGGUAGAUGAGGAGAGAAUCCUAAGGUGAGCGAGAGAACUAUUGUUAAGGAACUCGGCAAAAUAACCCCGUAACUUCGGGAGAAGGGGUGCCUGCUUCGGCAGGCCGCAGUGAAAAGGCCCAGGCAACUGUUUACCAAAAACACAGGUCUCUGCAAAAGCGAAAGCUGAAGUAUAGGGGCUGACGCCUGCCCGGUGCUGGAAGGUUAAGGGGACGUGUCAUCGCAAGAGAAGCACUGAACUUAAGCCCCAGUAAACGGCGGCCGUAACUAUAACGGUCCUAAGGUAGCGAAAUUCCUUGUCGGGU